rnacentral:lncRNA from 1 species
CCCCUCAGCUCAUACCUUUAAUACUAAUUGCUUUUUUCCAUACUCCUUUUCAGGAUCUGCCUAACUCAAUUACCAGGAAAAACCAAGUAGACAAAAUAAAGUUUGUGGUGAGCCACACUUUUUCCCCAUAUGUGCACAGACCACGUGGCCUAUGAACAUGACAAACCCCACUUCCCAUUGUGGGGAGUCACACAGGAUCUUGUGUGGCGCAGAGAGUUAUUCAAGACCAGCCAGACAUAUCCGGUCAACUGGGACAGUCUGUCACCCUGAACUGUCAGUAUGCAACAAGCUGGAGCUAUAACUACCUGUUUUGGUACAAGCUGCUUCCCAAUGGAGAGAUGAUUUACCUUAU